GUUUCUGUAGUGUAGUGGUCAUCACGUGCGGUUCACAUGCGCAAGGUCCCAGUUCGAAUCUUAGAAUUU